GCCAAGGCAAUGCCGUUGUUUUGAGCGAUGCAGCUGGAAGGCGUGAGGCCCAACGAAAUCACCUUUAGCUGCUCUUCUCUGGCAGUAUAUACCUUCGUGCUGCGGGAGUGGUGACUGUUGUUGCCAAUACCUGCAUUGGAAUGCUUGCUUGGUGUGGUGAUCUUGCCUGAGAAAGAUGAAAUCCCCUGGAACUUAAUGAUCAACGCUGCCUUUGUCCCGUCACAAUUAUCUUCAAUAAUAAGAUACAUAAUAAAAAUGCAUCUCUCACAAUAUUUGCUUGUAAAAUUAAGAAAAUAUUUUCAAAUUUCCAUAAAAUGUUUUUACAUACAUGUUGGACAA
rnacentral:lncRNA from 1 species